GAGGGUAUAGCUCAAGUGGUAGAGCACGUGCUUAGCAUGCAUGAGGUCCUGGGUUCAAUCCCCAGGACCUCCU
rnacentral:tRNA from 1 species